UCAGUGAUCAGGGCGAUGGGGGUCGUUCCUUAUCUCUGUCUCCUCCUGUCUUGUCUGGCAGGCGUGCGGUCCGACGUCGUGCUGAUACAGCCCAAGUCAGCGGUGGUCCAGCCCGGACAGUCUCACACACUGACCUGUGAGGUCAAAGGGUUCGAUAUCAGCAGCUACUACAUGCAUUGGGUGAAACAGGUCCCCGGGAAAGGGCUGGAGUGGCUGGUAGUGCAUUACAGUGAAAGUUACAAGUAUUAUGCGCCUGGAGUCCAGAGCCGGUUCACCGCUUCCAAGGGCAGCAGCAACUUGUAUCUGCAAAUGAACAGCCUGAGACUGAACGACACGGCGACCUAUUACUGUGCGAGAGAUUAUGGGGCGGGCAGAAUAUAUGUCGAUCUUGACUACUGGGGCGGAGGAACCUCGCUGACAGUGACUUCAGAGGUCAAGUCUGUGCCAUCAGUCUACAUCACUCUUUCCUGCAACAGAAAAUCUGACCAAGGCAACAGGAUCCUCUGUCUGGUCAAGGACUAUCAGCCUGAGAGCGUCAGUCAGACAUGGUCCACUAACAAUGGGGACAUCACCACUGGAAUCAAGAAAUACCCGGCGGUGUUGGGGCAAAAUUCAAAGUACACGAUGAGCAGCUUGCUCGAAGUCUCUGCAGCGGACUGGAAGAAUAAAGUUUACUACUGCAAGGCAGGGUACAAGCCAAACGAGAUUGAGACAGCGGAGUGGCAGAAACCUCAACCUCAAUCUCCGAAGCUCAGCUCCCUUGUUCCAUCCCGGGAGAUGAUCCGCAGUCAAGCAAAUGCUGUCCUGGGCUGUGUGAUAUCUGGAUUCUCUCCUGACAAUGUUACAGUAUCCUGGAAAAAAGCUGGAUCUGCCCAAGAAGGCAUUGUUCUCCCUUCCACUCGGAGAUCUGGUGGUGGAUUUGAAACAAUCGCUUACCUGACAGUGCCUGUGCAGGAAUGGACCAAGAAACAGGAAUAUACUUGUGAAGUGAAUCACGCACCUUCCGGUGUCAAUAGUCAGGUCAACAUGAUGUAUCAAGAGGAUGACUGUUCAGAUGCCCACUCCUCAGUCACUUUAAGCAAACCAUCCUUCGAAGAGAUCUGGACAAAGAGGACAGCGACCAUUCUGUGUGAGGUGGUUCACAGUGAUUUACUGGGAUUCAGUGUAACCUGGCAGGUGGACGGAAGGAAGAGGGAAGAUGGGGUGAGGACAGACAGCAAAGGAGGUGAAGACACGAUCACCAGCAGACUGACAGUCCCUGCUGCAGAGUGGAACAGUGGGGCUGAGUUCUCAUGUGUGAUAGAAGACAAGAGUUUGCCAACACCAGUGAAGAAAUCCAUCAGGAAGGACACAGGUGAUUUUGUGACUCGUCCUCAGGUCUACCUCCUCCCACCUUCAUCGGAUGAGAUAGACACCGAUCAGACUGGGACCUUGAUGUGCCUGGUCACCAAGUUCUCUCCCGCAGACAUCUAUGUGGUCUGGAUGGCCAAUGACACCCUUCUGAAGACAGUGUUUGUGAACCAGCCGGUGACCAAGGACCCCAGAAAAGGCUGGAACACAAUGACCAGUCAGCUGAAGGUUUCUCCUGAGGAGUGGAAGAGCGGCACCACUUUCUCCUGUGUGGUGGGUCAUGAGUCGCUCACAACCAACCUGUUCCGAAGCAUCAAUAAAUCUCACAGCAAACCCACCCUGGUCAAUGUCUCACUUGUUCUGACUGAUAGUUUUAAAUCUUGUGUGUAAUACUGUGUGAUCCAAUGUAUGAGAUCCUUUUGUUUUGUUAGUUUUAUGAUUAUUAAUUAUCACAGAGGAUUUUUAGCUGAUGAUAAAAGCCUGGACCUUUUCAAAUAAUUAAUAAAGAAAUUAAGAUCAGAAACCAAAUUAAACUACAAACAUGAUUCACCACAAUCCUCUAAGUUACUGGGUAGGUUCUCAGACCACCUUCUGCCAUGUUUGAAUGGAUUUCAACCCUGUGUGGGACUACAUAAUGUAUGAAAUCUUUGUAUAUGUCAAAGUAUCGAUUCAAGUUCAAUAAAUAUGAUAUGAAAAUGU